UUGCCAAGAGAACAUGUUAAUUCAUGCAAAAUAGUUUGAGGAAACCAGCAAGCAUUCUGUUUGCCCCAUUCUUCCUUUUUAUUUAUUAAUUGUGAAUCUUUAUAAGAAAUUUAAAUAAUUAUGGCAGUAGGAUGAAUUCCACCAGGAACUGGCUUAUGAGACUGACUCACCAUUUGAAGUAGAUACCUAUCAGCUAACUAGUACAUUAUCAUAUUGCAGCAUCCAGGAAAAGUAAAGUACUUGGAAGUCCCAUUGAUGUAAUUGUGAAAGACUAUGAGAUGAAUCCAUAUUGUUGGUAAGAUUCCAUAAUGGAGCAAUUGCCAUAUCCAAAGCCCUUCUGGCUUACUGUAGACAGAAGGGAAUCCCUUUUUGGGAGAUGGCAGGGGACACAGAAGGCCCUCCUUGCCCAAUUCUGGCCCACCACUGCUGGUGGGACUUCUAUGGCUGCAAAGCUCUCUAUGGGCAUACUGGUGUUGUGUGUACUCUGGGGCUAUAAGUGCCAUCCCUCAGGUUGACCUUCCUCUUCAUUGGCAGAGUGGCAAUUAUGCCAGUUUCAGCCAGUUUUAGGAUUGUUGCCUAAAGCAUGUCAUCAACUCUCCCAUCAAUGCGACUUUUGGCUGGAUAGUGUCCACCCAUUGUGGAGAUACACUGUGAUUCCUAAGGCAUCACAGAUAUACAAAAUUUCUUCUCUAUUGUUGGGACAGCAUUCUAUCGCAUCCAUUUAAAAUUCACUCCUAAGUCUAAAAUGGGAUAUGGCGAUGGGCUAGGCAAGAAUCUUAAUUGCUUCUGAAACAGCAGCAGAUGAAACACAAGCCAGUGUAAAAUAAUGUAGUGGUUAGAGCACACAGUAUCCACGGGGAGAGGUGGUCCUUGAGGUACAAAACCAUCAAUUUUAAUGGAAGCUGGAAACUAAGUGGUAGCCAGUGCAGUCAAGUGAGGAUUUAUGUUGAAUACUGAGUGUUACAUAUUAACAUGAAAAACAAUACUGCAUAUUUGGAUUAAUGGGAAAAUGGCAAUAUAAUGGCGGGGAGGAGGUUUAACUUUAACAGUUACAAAGUCCCUUGCAAGUCAACAAUAAUCUGGUUUUUAAGCUGAUAAGGAAAAAUCCUGGGGUGUGGAUUUACUUCACUGCCCAGCUCGUCGGGGUGCCACUCCCUGUGGUUCUCUCCGGUCAGCAAAAGGAGACUCCAGCCAAGUUAAAGAAGCAAACAGUGGUCAGUAGACCUGAUCUUUAUUUGUUGCAACAAGUUUCAAACUCACAAAGAAUAGGAACCCCAAGCAUAGGGUUGCGUGAACUUUUAAGACCUCUCCCCAUUUCCCAUAAUACAUUUUUCAACAGCAUCAUUGACACAUCACAGAUAUGUUACAAAGUAGGAGUGUUUGGCAUGUAGAAACGUGAGCCCAUCACUCACCCCUGUCAAUAACCCCAGUUCCCGAUACCUUUUAACUACCCUGUUCCCCCCAAACAGUAAGAGUAUUUACACAUCCCCCUAGCUGCAAGGCUUUCCUGUGCUUCUCCUUUGAAAGUAUCAGGAUUCAAUCCACUAUCCUGAUGGGUUUCUGUCUGGGAUAUGUGCUGCCCUUGACUGCCUCCUGCCUCCUAUUGUGUGCACUGGGAGAGGAAGGGGGGGUGCGGGGGAUGUGGCUCGCCCUGGGUGUCAUCCCUGAGGGUGGUGACAUUGCCGUGAGCGGCGCCCCCCUAGGACGCUCACUGCUUGCUGCAGUGCCCCCCUGGGAUGCUCAACACUCACCCCACCACCCCGUGGGAUGCUCUCUGGCCUGCCCCCGUGGGCAGCUCACCCUGCCCCGCCCCCGGGUGCCGAAGCAUCUAGCUCCGCCUCCAUUUGUGUGGCUAAGUUCACACCUUGUGGAGGGGGAAGGAGUAUGUGACCUUAUGCUUAAGGGAUUAUGGAGACAGGGGAGACCUGGAUUCCCCUCUUCCAGAGGAGUCAUUAGCCAUUGGAACCAAGGAAAUCCGUCAAACCGUUGAAUGUUGGUGGCUAUUUGAUUCUACAGUGGUACCUCUGGUUACGAAUGGGAUCCAUUCUGGAGGCCCGUUUCCAACACGAAAAGCCCGCAACCUGAAGCGCCGUAUCUGUGCAGAUGUGCGGCGCAAUUUGGCACUUGUGCACAUGUGCGAAGUGCGAUUUAGUGCUUCUGCACAUGCGCAAGUGGCGAAACCCGGAAGUAACCCUUUCUGGUACUUCCGGGUCGCCGCGGGACGCAACCUGAAAAAACGUAACAUGAAGCAAACGUAACAUGAGGCAUUACUGUAUACAGUAGUACCUUGGGUUACAUACGCUUCAGGUUACAUAUGCUUCAGGUUACAAACUCUGCUAACCCAGAAAUAGUACCUUGGGUUAAGAACUUUGCUUCAGGAUGAGAACAGAAAUCGCACGGUGGUGGCGCAGCGGCAGCAGGAGGCCCCAUUAGCUAAAGUGGUGCUUCAGGUUAAGAAUAGUUUCAGAUUAAGAACGGACCUCCGGAACGAAUUAAGUUCUUAACCUGAGGUACCACUGUAUUGGGUAUUCAGAGGAAACAGUAGGAUACAUGGUAUCCAUUUACUGCUACAAUUUUAUAGACUGUCUUUCUGAGCCUCUUUGCUGUUGUGUAUGCAUGGUGCCUGUGUCAAUGGUCAUUGUCCUGGCCUUAGUUAGAGGCUGUGGUGGGGACUUGGGAUUUUGGAAGUCACUUAAUCGCCUCCCUAUUCCUGGUUUUAACAAAGCAGAAGCUGCAUGGCCAUCUGUCAUGUGUGAUCUAGUGGAGCUUUCUGCAUUGCAGGGAGUUGCACUAGAUCAGCGUUUCCCAAAGUGGGUGAUACUGCCCCCUGGGCGGUGCUGGAAUGAUCUGGGGGGCGGGGCGGGAGGGGAGGUAGUAGCCUUGAGUGCAAUUGGUGGCUGUUGAAUAAAAAAUAAGAGGGUGGUGGAAGCAUUAAAAAAGAAGAGAAUUUUUUUGGGGGGGAAACACGUUUGUACAUGUUUCAUCUGUUGUGUGAUGACGCUUACCACCAGGUAAGGCACCAUGGCGAGAUGGUGACAAUGCCUUCCCUGGAUCUGGCAGGUGAGGGGUUUUCCCCAAGCUUGGGUCAACCCUUUUUGGCUUCACCUGGGCUUGGGAAGUGGAUCGCAACUUGCCUGCCUAUAUGGCCAAUGGCAGGUGGGCUACAGCGCUGGCCCCGCCCCUGGGGAAGAUCAGCAGACUUCACUUGUUCUCUUAAAGAAGGUAGAUUUCCAGGGGAGCACUGAAUUUUCUUUUUUUCUGAAAAGGGGUGAGCAGGCCAAAUAGGUUUGGGAACCUCUUCCCAGGAUUCCCAGGAUCCCUUCCAACUCUACAAUUCUACGAUUCUGUGAAUUUUAUGAUUCAAAUGAAUUAAAGAAAAAACCCUCAGAAAUUACUAUAGGAAUCAAUACAACAAAGAAUCUAUUUUUAAUAAUGAAAAACUUAAAUAUGCUUGGGAAGACAAACCAACAAGACAUUUAGGGAUAAAUCCAACAAGGAAACUGAAUGAUCUAUACAGAAAUAUAUUGGAAUAAUUAUGAUUCAUUAGUUAAAUAAUGUGUGUUAUUAAUUAAGUAGUAGGAAAAUUACCGGUAUAUCCAUCACUCUUUGACAGAGAAUUACUCUAGUUUAAAUGACACUGAUGCCUAAGACAAUCUUCCAUUUCAGUUUCUCACUAUUAAAUUUUUGGUCCAGUAGCUUAACAGAUGGGAGCAACUCUUUCUGAAAUUGAUCAGGAAUUGGGGGUGGGAGACAGAACGAGAAUGAAAAUGUUGGUACUCAGUGAUAAAAAGAAAAGAGGUGGACGACUGAAUCCUAAUAUAACAUUAUAUUGCCAUAUAAACUCUUGCCAGAUAAUAAUUUAAUAAUCUAAAAUUACACUAAUUGGCAAAUUGAAUAUAUUGUCUAAUAAACUGAUGCAUUGCAAUCUCAGGUCUUCUGUUUCUCUGUUUGAAAAAUCUCUGACCAAAUUACAUACUAUAUCAGGCAUGGGAAACAUUUGUCUCUCCAGAUACUGCUGAACUACAAUUCCCAUCAUUCCUGGCCAUUGGCCAUGCUUGUUAGGGCUGAUGGGAGUUGCAGUUCAGCAACAUAUGGGAGACUAAUGAGCAAUAUAAUAGGGUUUUUAAAACUGCUUUAAAGAAAAAGGAACACAAAUAAAUGUACAUAGGAUUGCAGCUAGUUUAGUUGUCACAGGAGGCUUUCUCAAUGAGUACAGUGCCACACCUAACUAUUUUAAUUCUUGCGGCACGACAGUUUCCUGUUAAAGAAUGGAAACUUGAUUUUUUUCCCCAAGAGAGUAUUUCAGGUUAUUUUAUAUUUUAGAAUGCAUAUAUUUAUAAUAUAUAUAUAUUCUAUUAUUCUUUUCAAACAAGCUUGCAGUAAUCAGAUGAAAAAGUAGUAAAAGAAUCAAAACUGCUUUUAAAAAUCUAUUAGAGUGGUACAUCGGGUUAAGAACUUAAUUCGUUCUGGAGGUCCGUUCUUAACCUGAAACUGUUCCUAACCUGAGGUACCACUUUAGCUAAUGGGGCCUCCUGCUGCCGCCACGCCAGCACCGCACGAUUUCUGUUCUCAUCCUGAGGUACUAUUUCUUAGCCCGAGGUACUAUUUCUGGGUUAGCGGAGUCUGUAACCUGAAGCGUCUGUAACCUGAGGUACCACUGUACUGUAAAGACAAUCAAGUACAAUGGAAAGGCUGUACACUGAUUUUCCCAUUCAUUUCUUUGGAGCCCCGCCUGCAAAUAUGAGAGUCCCAACUAGUCAGAAAUUCAGUCCUGUCUCCUCUCACUCCUCUCAUUCAUCAUUAAGUGUAUUGCCAAAGGCAGAGGAAGAAAUUCAACUAUGCCUGUUUUUCCCCACAUUUGGUCUUGCUUCAGUUCCCUGAGAGAAGGUUUGACAGGGCAAGGGAUCAUUUCCUCUAAAGCAGUUGCAGCCAUCCAGAUGGUCAGGGUGAAAUAAUAAGACAAUUAUAAUUAAUUAUUAUUAUUACACAAUAAUUGGAUAUCAGCAGGCUUGCCGUAGGGGAAUCUGAAAAAUGAAUACGUGGACACUGACUGUUGUUUGAGAGGGAUAGAUACAAAAGCAGGUAAAUGGGGGAAUAGAAUAGCUUGGAGGAUGGCAUUGAACAGAAACGCUCUGUACUGCAACAUUUUGUUGCGCAUCCCACUUGCAGGUUUCAACUGCCUGUUCAGGAUAACAGUAGGUAAAGCUUCAACCCUGUAUAUUUUCUCUUUCCUCUUGAAUCCAGGGAGUGAGGAGCAGGGCCUGUCAGAGAGGGCUCAGAAGGGCCUCAAGCUCAAAAGGAGGCUCGGAUGCAUGUGACGAUGAGUUCAAAGGCUUGGGUUAACCCAGCUGAGCUCUGCUAUUGAAGGACUACAGGGACUGGGCAUCUUACUUCGCUCUUAGGCCCAGACCCACCUGCUGCAGAACGAAUCCAAGGGCCAGCUCUGCAGCCUGAAGAGGAAGAGAACCGGUUCCUAUAACAUGCUGCUCUGCUUUGCUUAAGAUCGCAAGCUGCAGUACAUGCAGGUAUACUCAGCACCCUGAACAUUCACUCUCACACACAUACAAAACUCAAGAAGCCAGUACAUACAAUGUUUAAAACUUAUGAGUGUGCUAAAAACACACAAAACCCGCUUUUGUUUCUCAUACUUCAGAAACGCUCAGCACCAUCCAACUCAGAACACGUACCUGUGGCCACAGCGGUCCAGCUACACCCGGACUCGCAGCUGAGAGGCAGGAGCUGCAAGUCCUCUCAAUAAAGGAGGACUCCCUCUUGUCCUGCGCUACAUCCUGGGUGGGUGGGUGUGCAAGGAAUCUGCAGUUGAUAAAGUCUUGCAGCUUUAGGCACCACACCAAAAUGUGUCACAGGCUCUCAGGAAAGUCCAGAAAAGCAUUUGUUAAAGAAACACAAAAUUCAAAUUAUGCCUCACUCUGUUUUUGGUGCUUUCAUUUGUUUCAGAGGUGUGGUCAUUUUAACUUUUACUUGGUCUUAGGAGCCUCAAAAGCUGGAAGUGGACUGGGCCUCACUGGACCUCUGAGGUGGUCUGACAAGGGACGUAGAAAAGAUAGCUGGGGGCUUGUUUUCGUUUUUCAUCCUCUCAGCUUUGGGAUAAACAUUUUAAGGUCAUUUCUCUCCAUUUCAUGAAUUAGUAAAGACAGAAUUAAUUCAAAAUUUCAAAAAGGCCCUGUAAAGGCAGACAAAUCAAAGCCAAGCAUUGAGUGACAGUGGAGAUUCCUGGAGCUGUCACAAAAUGUGUGUGGUUGUGUGUGUGUGUGUGUGUGUGUGUGUGUGUGUGUGUGUGUGUGUGUGUGUGUGUGUGUGUGUGUGUGUGUGUGUGUGUGUGUGUGUGUGUGUGUGUGUGUGUGUAGGAGAGGCAUGGCAGUCCAUGUGGUCCCUUUUGGCAUUGGAGUGGUAGACAUAUUUUGUUCCCAGUGCAGUAUUGCUCCCCAGCUACAGGUUCCCCAAUAGCCAUUCAUUCAUAUGGGGGGAAAUAAAAGGGGGCACCCUAUAUCCCUUCGCAACCUAGAAUGGAACAGACAGUUAGUGAGGUUGGGGUGGCAUGCUGAAAAUCAGCUUUCGUGUGACAUCCUUUCCUGAACUUAUGCUAAUUUUAAUCCUUUUAUUAAUUAUACAAGCCUUCACUGGCAGUCGCUAGCUGGGACAGAUUGGAAUAACUUCAAUGGAAGCUUUCACUGCCUACCCUCCAAACGAUGCCUUUUGUGCAAUUUCCCCGUUUGUUUCCACGGGUCUUUGAUACCAGCAGUGACCGGCGGAUGAUGCCCGCACUCAGCAACAUAAAGCAUUUUACAUUUCACACAGCUAAUGUGCUCCGGCCUAAUUAGGUUUAAUUGUUAUACAUGGCUGCCUUCAUCCCAAUUCAGCAGAGGUCAAAGGAUGCUCUGGAGUGCAAAUUUGCCACAAGCGCUCUGUUUCGGAAAUCCUUUCAGCUUCCCGAAGAAUAGCAUCUGGUCGCAGGGACUCGUUCCUAUUUUGGGUGCCCGAGUGUUGCAUCAUCUGCAUUUGAGACAUUGUGUCCGACACGGAGAGCAGGCCCUGAAGGCUUUCUGAGGACAAACACCGGC
rnacentral:lncRNA from 1 species